rnacentral:rRNA from 1 species
GAUGAACGCUGGCGGCGUGCAUAACACAUUCAAGUCGAACGGAGUUAUCUGAAUUAAUCCUUCGGGAAGCGUGAGGAUAACUUAGUGGCGGACGGGUGAGUAACGCGUGAGCAACCUGCCUCUGUAUGUGGGAUAACGUCGGGAAACUGACGCUAAUACCGCAUGAAGCAUAGAAGUCGCAUGUCUUUAUGCCAAAGAUUUAUUGUACAGAGAUGGGCUCGCGUCUGAUUAGGUAGUUGGUAGGGUAACGGCCUACCAAGCCGACGAUCAGUAGCCGGACUGAGAGGUUGAACGGCCACAUUGGAACUGAGAUACGGUCCAGACUCCUACGGGAGGCAGCAGUGGGGAAUAUUGGGCAAUGGGCGAAAGCCUGACCCAGCGACGCCGCGUGAAGGAAGAAGGUCUUCGGAUUGUAAACUUUUGUCAACAGGGAAGAAGAAGUGACGGUACCUGUUAAGGAAGCCACGGCUAACUACGUG